UGAGGAACAUGACCUUCGGCGGGGGAUAGCCGGCCCAACGGCCGGGUAAUACCGCGUACGACCACAUGGGGACAUCCCUGAGUGGUGAAAGCAGCAAUGCGCCGAUGGAGUGCCUCGCGGCCUAUCAGCUAGUUGGUGAGGUAACGGCUCACCAAGGCGACGACGGGUANCUGGUCUGAGAGGAUGGCCAGCCACAUUGGGACUGAGACACGGCCAGACCUNUACGGGAG
rnacentral:rRNA from 1 species